rnacentral:lncRNA from 1 species
AUUUUUGUUUUCUCUCUAGUACGAUGCCUGAACUGUUUUUCUCACUCUGUGAGAUACUUCAGUGAUAUUCCCACAGUUCCUGCAGGUUACCUGACAUUUCCUCUUUAGCCUGAAUGUUUGAACUCCUGCAGCGUUUGUAUGGGACAAGUCUGUCCACCAUCUGGAACAAUUACAAGUGACUGGAAAGUACUGUUCCUAAAGAAAGGACAUCCAGCAGUAGAGGCGCUGGUCCAUCCCAGAACCCUCACUUGUACCUCCAGGACAGUGAUGUGCUUCUCCACUAAGAUUCAGAAUGGAAGAGUCUGAACAUCUGAUGUUAACAUUUUCAGACAGGUUUCUCUUGGGAUCCAUCAUGUUUCGUUGUUAUACUACCAGAAACACCUUUGAGCUCUGACCUCUCUUUGGGAUUGUAACAUCAGUAGCUGCAGGUUAUACAGAAGUCACUGAAACGCUUAAUGUAAAUGUAUUAAUUGAGACCCAGAAACAGUCUUUACCAAAGACUUUAGCUUGUCUAACUUAAAAAGAAGUGGGAGCUGGCUGUUCACAAAGUGGUUUGCAGAGCUGGAUUCAUCAUUUCUCCUCUAAGAAAUCAUGGAAUCAUAGAAUGGCCUGGGUUGAAAAGGACCACAAUGCUCAUCUAGUUUCUACCCCCUGCAGGGUCAUCAACCACCAGACCAGGUGCAAAAAGACACAAAUGGAGAUUUUCAGCGUUUAUGAUAGACUUUGCAUGUCCUGGAGUUAAUGAAAUUGCCCAGGAAACCCGAGUAGCUGCUGAGAAAGUGCUGAGGAAGCUCUUGAAGAAAUCCUGUUUCAAUUUGCUUCUUUAAAUUACUUGAAAAAAGACCUGUUUGUUAUCUAAUUUGUUGAUGAAUUCGGUCACUUUCUGGAAUGAUUGCUUGUGUAAUUUACUUUAUUGGCACAUUAUUUAAAGUUCUCAUUCAGCUUCAGGCUGGGGGUUUCGCAGCCAGUCUUAUACAAUGGGAAAUUGGUGUCACUUCGUGUCAGAGCAAUCAGGAGCACUGGUG